GUCGAGUGGGUUUAGACCCACGGCGAACGGGUGAGUAAUACCUAGGAAUGUAUCUUUAGUCGAGCAUAUCCCACCGAAAGGUGGAGCAAUUCUCGAUGUGACCGCAAGGUUAAAGUCGCAAGACGCUAAAGAAGCGGCCUGGGCACCAUCAGCUAGUUGGUAGGGUAAUGGCCUACCAAGGCGAUGACGGUUAGGGGCCCCGAGAGGGGAGACCCCCACACUGGAACUGCGACACGGUCCAGACUCCUACGGGAGGCAGCAGUUUGGAAUUUUGGACAAUGGGCGAAAGCCUGAUCCAGCGACGCCGCGUGGACGAUGAAGGCCUUCGGGUCGUAAAGUCCUUUUGGCAGGGAAGAAUUUUUGACGGUACCUGCAGAAUAAGAGGUUGCUAACUCUGUGCCAGCAGCAGCGGUAAUACAGAGACCUCAAGCGUUAUCCGGAAUCAUUGGGCGUAAAGCGUACCGAUCGGUGGUUUUACAAGUCAGAGGUGAAAUUCCAAGGCUCAACCUUGGGACUGUCCUUUGAAACUGUAAAACUAGAGGGACAAAGAGGAAGCUAGAACUAACGGUGUAGGGGUAAUAUCCGUUGAUAUCGUUAGGAAUACCGAUAGCGAAGGCAGGCUUCUGGGUGUCACCUGACACUGCUAGGACGAAAGCGUGGGGAGCAAAAAGGAUUAGAUACCCUUGUAGUCCACGCUGUAAACGAUGCAUAUUAGGUGCUGGGGAGUAUCGACCCUCUUCAGUGCCAAAGCUAACGCGUUAAAUAUGCCGCCUGGGGAGUACGGCCGCAAGGCUAAAACUCAAAGGAAUUGACGGGGACCUGCACAAGCGGUGGAGCAUGUGGUUUAAUUCGACGACAGCGAGGAACCUUACCAAGGCUUGACAUGUAUCUGCAUACUCUGGAAACAGGUAGCCUUCGAGGGUGAUACACAGUGCUGCACGGUCGUCGUCAGCUCGUGCCGUGAGGUGGUCCACU
rnacentral:rRNA from 1 species